rnacentral:rRNA from 1 species
UAUCUCUGUAGAGUCUGCAUAUCAAUAAGCGGAGGAAAAGAAACUAACAAGGAUUCCCUUAGUAACGGCGAGUGAAGCGGGAAGAGCUCAAAUUUGAAAUCUUCAAGGUUCUACCUUGACGAAUUGUAGUUUAAAGAAGUGUUUUCUGUUAGAUGAGUAGCAAAAGUUCCUUGGAAUGGGACAUCAUAGAGGGUGAGAAUCCCGUAUUUGGUUAUUCAUUCUAGCUUUGUGAUACACUUUCAAAGAGUCGGAUUGUUUGGGAAUGCAGUCCAAAAUGGGUGGUAAAUUUCAUCUAAAGCUAAAUAUUGGCGAGAGACCGAUAGCGAACAAGUACCGUGAGGGAAAGAUGAAAAGAACUUUGAAAAGAGAGUUAAACAGUACGUGAAAUUGUCAAAAGGGAAGCGUUUGACACCAGUGUUGUUUUUCCGAAAAUCAAUUACGAAUGGCUUGAUUUUGUGUUGUAUUGACCUUAUCAGCUUUCUUCACUUUUUUCGAGUCUUUCUUAAUGCACUUUUCGGUUAACAAGUCAACAUCAAUUUCCUUUGUUGUAAAAGAGUAUUCGGAAGGUGGCUUUCUUUUCGGAGAAAGUGUUUAUAGCCCUAUACUUCUACAAUCGGAGAGAUUGAGGUCUGCAGCGUAGAUCCUUCGGGGUUAGAUACACUUUGUGCUAAGUUGUAGCUUUUCAUAGACAACUUGUUGACUAUGUUUAGUCAUGCGGCUUACUCGCUUAUGCUAUUUUACCUACGCUUAGGAUGUUGACUGAUAUGUAGUCGUA